rnacentral:rRNA from 1 species
UACGGAGGGUGCAAGCGUUAUCCGGAUUCACUGGGUUUAAAGGGUGCGUAGGUGGGCAGGUAAGUCAGUGGUGAAAUCCCCGAGCUUAACUUGGGAACUGCCGUUGAUACUAUCUGUCUUGAAUACCGUGGAGGUGAGCGGAAUAUGUCAUGUAGCGGUGAAAUGCUUAGAUAUGACAUAGAACACCAAUUGCGAAGGCAGCUCGCUACACGAAUAUUGACUCUGAGGCGCGAAAGCGUGGGGAGCAAACAGG